rnacentral:lncRNA from 1 species
AUAUACACACAAAUAUAGUAUAUCUAUAAGAGAGACAGGAAAUACUGGCUUUCUGUUUGUGAUGAAAUGCAAAUUCCUUAUGUAUUUUUCCAAAAUGUUUAAAAUGAGGCUUUUGUAAUCAGAAGUAUAUAAGCCCCCUUCCCCCAAAGAAAAUGAUUAUUCUACUGCCCGUCUUGACUGUAUUCUUACUUGGGGGCAGGGUGGGUGGCGUGAACAGGGAGAGCUAAUCUCUCCUUCUUUCUGACUCAUUCCACAGUCAAUCCUUUUUCUUAUUAUUUUCCAAAGGCAUGAGGACCUUCCAUGUUCCGAAACCAUUGUCCAGAGUAUUUCUUCUGGACUAUUUUCCACUUCCUUCCAUCUGACCGGCCAGCUGUUCUGCAUUUGUAAAAGCUGGUUUCUGAUGUCAUCUCUAGGCAGGACCGCUCCCUCCCUCUCCUGCACUCCUAUACUUCGUGGCAUAUCCGCCCCAAGAUAACACUUGUCACUCUGUUUUCCAAAUUCAGUUUCAUUCAUUUGCUUCACAUGUGCACUGAGCCCACUGACUUCUUUCCCUGUCUGUUGCCAGCACUGGAGACCAAGCCUGCACGCUUUGGCCCAGACCAUCUCAUUCACCUUUUAACACAGAAUCAGGCAAAAAAGUGAAUGAGAGGGGUGGAAAAAGGGUGGAGCCGGAGCUGAGAAGAAGAGUUAGCAUCACCACGGUCUUCCUCCAGGCCAUUCUCAAGCACAACCUGGGUGAGGCUCUGUCAUUGCUUAAUGGAUCAGCUGUAUAGUAACAGCAGAAGAUAAAACAUGGCUUCCAGAUCAGCUAAAGUAUCAACAAGAAUGAAAAUGACACUUCAAAGGAUUUAAGUGAAGAGAGUGUCGUGAAGAUUAUUUGUAGAGAUGUGGGAUCAGAUGAGAAACACCCUGGGACCAGAAACAGCAGAAGCCCUAAUGCCUGCCAAAGGGCAAGACCAGGGUGAGCUCCUACCCACAGUAUCUGGCGAGAGCUGGAGCCCUGAGACAGGGAUGGGGCCUACUGGCACUUGGAAAGUGUACUGGGGUCUUAGUGAACUGAUGUCAUUUCCUCUUCUCUUCCCCAGGAUUUGAGAUUUCUAAAAACAACAACAACAACAACAACAACAACAACAAAACCCUAUACAAAUCUAAAUUAGUUAAAAAAAAAAAAACUAAAGUGGUUGGAUGGGAGCUAUGGCUUAGGAAGAGAAACACAGCCCAUCAAAGAGGGACUAGGGAUUUAAAUAACCCUCUCUUCUCUCUUCCUGUCCAUGCCUUCUGUUGGGUGAAACUAGCAGCCAGAAGGCAAGGGGGCCUGGGUGGAGAUGUCCAGUGGCAUUAGCCUCCCAGGUACAGAGAGAUGCAGAGAAAGAUGCAAAAUAGACCUGGAGUAGCUGAGAAUCAUCUUGUCAUUUGUCACCUAUUAGCCAGUUGCUUUGUCCAAGGCCUUGAGCCUCAGUUUUCUAUAGAGUGGGCAUCAAACUUGUCUACCUCUUGUCUGCCUCACAGGGCCAUGGGGAACAGCCAGUGAAAGUGUUAAAAUCAUUCGCUUGCCAUUUGACCCUCUUCUUCAUCUGCAUUAUCUCACUUAAUUCCUCAACAGCCGGGUAGGGUAUAAGGCAGAGAGGCCAGGGGACAAGGACAGGCAGGCACUUUGGAAUCAGAAGAAGAGGUCAUCAACUGUGGCUCAGCCAAGCUUUUUAACUGUGAGAUCAUGGGAAACUGAAGCUCUCUGAACCUCAGCUAUUGUCUUACUUUGAGCUCCCCCAAAAUCACAUCCUGAGACAAAUAUUUGAGUGCAAAUAGUUCAUUUGGGAGCUGAUCCCAGGAUGCACCAGGAGGGACUGGGCAGGGACUCAGAAAAGGGAAGAAACCCAAUUAUUGGUGUAUUCACAAGUGGGCAACUCGGUCUCAGUGCCACAACUGUGAUGAAGACUGUGCAGGACACAUCCUGGGGUUGGUGGAAUGCAGGGUGCGGGUGCUGGGGUGUUUAUUCACCACCUUCCAUCCCUCACUGGCUGAGGGUUGUUCUUGGAAGUUUUAACUCCCUGGCCAUUUCACACUGCCUGCUGUGGCCAGAGGAGACUCAAGCAGCCAGAGAGUGCCAUGGGGUGGAGACACACAGGAAGCCACAUAGAUGCCCUCCAGCAUGGGCCAGGAGGGAAUGUCUGGGGGACCGACAGCAUCCGUUUUGUUUUUCUAAUUUGUAUGCUAGAGAUGAUGUCUAUGUCACAGGACAGUGACAGAGAUGAAAUGAUUAAUGAUUAAAUGGCUAAAUGUCUUCCAAGUGCCUGGCUCAUAGUAGGUAUCCAAAGAAAAGGAGGCAUUCAUAGUAAAGAUGGGUAAAUAUUCAUGUGUUACAGAUGGAAGCAAAUGGGACUCAAAGAAGUUAAGACAUUUGCCCUAAAUCACACAGACAGUUCUUAAAUGGCCAAGUCAGAUCUGGCCCCAGUUUGUUCCCCUUCCACUCUGCCGUGGCUACCUCCUGUUAAUGGACUAUACAUUUAGAGUGCUUUUGCCUCAUAAAGUGUGUGAAGCUCCAUAAAUAUAAAAUGUUUGUAGUCCCAGCCUUGCUAGCUCAAAUCCAAGUUAAAUUGACUCUUGGGUAGUUCUUCUCUCAGCCCCAAUUCUCAUAAGCUCAAAUAUAUAUUUUCUUAGUCCCCUGGGAUCCUCCAUUCUGUGCCCCAACAAUCCCUAACCCUUCAUUAGUAAUGCCUAGAUGUCUCCACAUAUUUCAAGGGGUGCCAGAAAGUCUCCAGACAAAAUAAAAGAUGCCAUAAAACACCAAGUGCAUAAAACUCUAGACACCUUGUUCUCCAUGUCAUGUUUCCUUUUAAAAACAAAUAUUUUGAAAUGCCCUCUUUACUAUCCUGCUGAUACACACAUAAAAACUAAUAAAAUGCACAAACUCUUUUCUUAAAAAUUGUGGGAAGAUAUACAUAAUAAAAAAUUUACCAUUUUAACC